UUGAUAGGUCGGGGGUGUAAGCAUGGUAACAUGUUCAGCUGACCGAUACUAAUAGAUCGAGGGCUUGACCAA
rnacentral:rRNA from 1 species